ACAGAAACAGGAGUAAUUGGUGAUGAAGUUGAAGCUGAGGCCACGGCAAGUUGAGGUGUGUUCUAGGGCCCGGAUGAUUCAUCUGCUUGGUCCCCAAGUUGCAGGAAGACCACACUUUUAAAGUCUCUCUGUUAGGAAACAGGUUAUAAUCCGAUGAUUAUGACAUGGCUAACUCCCAAUCUGCAAUUCCAGUGAUUUUCCAACCUCCCUUUCAACUCUGUUUCUCACAAACACCAGGUUACUCCCUCUCCACAAAGCAAGAAGAGAAUGAGUGUUUUGUUUUAUUUCUACCCAGACUCAAAUUGAUAAAUCGCAAAGGGUUCAAACAAUCCAACGAUGGAACUGUAGACAAAGAAAAAAAAACAAAAAGUAGGAAAUGAAAGUCAUCAUCUGUAUUACUCAUCAAUCACUGCACUGUUUCUUACAAUAUUCAAAUACGAAAACUGAAUUGAAGAAUUCUCUAAUCUCAGUUGUGGUCCCCUAGUGUGAUGAUCCCCUGCACUUUCUCUCACGCCACUUAUGGUAGACCUUCCAUACUGAUGUUGGUGUUCUAACACUCUCUCAGGAUCUCCUUACAAAUCUCUAAAGGAAAAGAGAAAAUAAAAAGAAGAAGACACUUGGCCGCAAGCAGGGUGAUAAAAUGGCCAUUACUCUACUAAUAAGUCAGCAACAGGAAAAAGGGAUGCGUGGCACAACAUUAGAGGAAAAGAAGAAAAGAUUAGCUGAGGAAAAGAAAACAGGAAGACUGAUGGGAGAGUGCCAGCCUCUCGGAAGCUGAGCGUGGGCAGUGGAAUCUCGACUGUACUUUUGUGUUUUUGUGACUUUUGUGAAGCUAGUUCAAGUUCUGGAAUCUGUAAUUAUCAUAUGUAAUAGCUGGAAAAUAGUCAUUGUAUUGAAAGAAUGAUUAUGUAACUUUAUUGUGAAUCAGUCAAUAUAUGUUCUUGUUUAUUUGCUGGAAAAACCAAUGCUGUGUACUGUUUGUUGAACUUGUGUUUGAGUUGUUGUGAGAUUCUGCUUGGAGGUGACUCGGCUGAGUUAAGGCUCUGCUCAGGUACGCAUCAAUAUCCAACUUGUUUAAACAUAAUAGAAUCAUAGAAGAAGAGCUCGAGGCAUCACAAGUACACUUACUUUGAUAGGUUUCCUAAUUUUCUAUUGUUUGAUUCUACCUCUUCUACUGUACUGUUGUAUUCUGCUGCACAAACCAAAGGUUUCUCUCCUUUAUAUUGAAGAGAGAAUAUCAAGUCUAUUUGUAGUCAUAUGUUUAUUUACUUUUAGCUUGAUGCAAGAUAAAACGGUUUCAGUUGUCUCAGUUCGAUUUCCUUAUUUACUCAGUUUUGCUUCUAUUUUCUUCAACUGAUUUACUUCUCUAUGGUGUGCUAUCAUAGUUUGCUUUCCUAAUGUACUUAGUUUUGCUUCUGCUUUCUUCAAAGGUAGCAGGGGAAAAGUUUCCUGCAAUGGUUACCGGUUGGAUGAGUUGGUUCUCCUGAAAACACCAGCUUAUAUAAGCUAAGAGGAUCAGGAUAUUGCUGAAAUGACUGAGGGAAACACUUGAAUUUGCUGCCCAGUUGGUUUUGGAAACUGAGGAAAUAUGAUGAUGGAAGUCAGUAAAAGAGAGGAGUCAGGAAUUGUUCCGGAUGUAGAUGUAGAUACUUUCAUGAAGUUAUUACAGCCAAUUUCUAGCAGAGGACCAAAACAACCCUUCAAACAGAUCAUGUUUUAACUGUCUUUGGACAUCCCAGGUCCUUGAACUUGAUAUUUUUGGUGACACAAUGGUGGGAGAUGAGAUGAGAAGAGGCAUCUCUGCAGGUCAAAAGAGGAGACUGAGUACUGGUGUCUCCUUCCUUGGUGGCUAUCAGCGAUAUGACUCCAGAGAAGUCCGCUCUAGUAACCAGCUGCACGGCUUCAGUUAACAAUCAAUUUGAAAUGAGCCAUAACAACCAU